AUUGAACGCUGGCGGCAGGCCUAACACAUGCAAGUCGAACGAGUGGCGGACGGGUGAGUAAUGUCUGGGAAACUGCCUGAUGGAGGGGGAUAACUACUGGAAACGGUAGCUAAUACCGCAUACCAUCGGAUGUGCCCAGAUGGGAUUAGCUAGUAGGGGGGGUAAAGGCCCACCUAGGCGACGAUCCCUAGCUGGUCUGAGAGGAUGACCAGCCACACGAGAACUAGGACAGUGUCCAGACUCCUACGGAAGGCAGCAGUGGGGAAUAAUGCACAAUGGGCGCAAGCCUGAUGCAGCCAUCCCGCGUGUAUGAAGAAGGCUUUCGGGUUGUAAAGUACUUUCAGCGGGGAGGCGUUACCUGAAGAAGAAGCACCGGCUAACUCCGUGCCAGCAGCCGCGGUAAUUC
rnacentral:rRNA from 1 species